rnacentral:rRNA from 1 species
GGACUACUGGGGUUUCUAAUCCUGUUUGCUCCCCACGCUUUCGCGUCUCAGCGUCAGCAACGAUCCAGAGGGCCGCCUUCGCCGCCGGUGUUCCUCCUGAUAUCUACGCAUUUCACCGCUACACCAGGAAUUCCACCCUCCUCUAUCGCGCUCCAGCUGGCUAGUUUCCGAUGCACUUCCGAGGCUGAGCCUCGGGCUUUCACAUCGGACUUGACCAACCGCCUACACGCCCUUUACGCCCAGUCAAUCCGAACAACGCUCGCACCCUCCGUCUUACCGCGGCUGCUGGCAC